rnacentral:rRNA from 1 species
CCCUUAGAUGUUCUGGGCUGCACGCGCGCUACACUGAUGCGCUCAACGAGUUUUAACCUUGCCUGGAAAGGUUGGGUAAUCUUUUUAAAACGCAUCGUGAUGGGGAUAGAUUAUUGCAAUUAUUAAUCUUGAACGAGGAAUUCCUAGUAAACGCAAGUCAUCAGCUUGCAUUGAUUACGUCCCUGCCCUUUGUACACACCGCCCGUCGCACCUACCGAUUGAAUGACUCGGUGAAAAAUUGGGACUGUGAUUGAAAUUGCUUCAUUGCGAAUUUAAUCAUGGAAACUUUCUUUAACCUAGGCAUUUAGAGGAAGGUGAAGUCGUAACA